rnacentral:rRNA from 1 species
GACGAACGCUGGCGGCGUGCCUAAUACAUGCAAGUCGAACGAGAGCGACCGGUGCUUGCACUGGUCAAUCUAGUGGCGAACGGGUGAGUAACACGUGGGUAACCUGCCCAUCAGAGGGGGAUAACAUCCGGAAACGGAUGCUAAAACCGCAUAGGUCUUCGAACCGCAUGGUUUGAAGAGGAAAAGAGGCGCAAGCUUCUGCUGAUGGAUGGACCCGCGGUGCAUUAGCUAGUUGGUGAGGUAACGGCUCACCAAGGCCGUGAUGCAUAGCCGACCUGAGAGGGUGAUCGGCCACAUUGGGACUGAGACACGGCCCAAACUCCUACGGGAGGCAGCAGUAGGGAAUCUUCCGCAAUGGACGCAAGUCUGACGGAGCAACGCCGCGUGAGUGAAGAAGGUUUUCGGAUCGUAAAACUCUGUCGUUAGAGAAGAACAAGCGCUAGAGUAACUGUUAGCGCCUUGACGGUAUCUAACCAGAAAGCCACGGCUAACUACGUG